rnacentral:tRNA from 2 species
GCCGCCGUAGCUCAGCGGUAGAGCGGCGGACUUGUAAUCCGCAGGUCGCGGGUUCAAAUCCCGCCGGCGGCU